UGUGGGUGUGUAGGAGUGUGUGUGUGUUGCAGACUAAAUGCUUCCCUGUGGGUGUUUAACAUGCAUCAGGCUUGACAACUAGCUUGGUCUGUCCACACAUCUUCCUCAUACACAGUAGUGUGUCUGGAGAACUCACAACUCUAAUCAAAAUCCAAACAAACAAAUCAAUGACAUCAUCGCUGUGAAUAUAGAACAUCAAGUCUUAUAUUGAAGCGAUUCUGGAGUUGGAAAGACAACAUGUCCUUUGAGUGGGGACUCUAUGGAAGCCUGGUCCCUAUAAGCCAGCAUGCUCUCUCCUGUAAGGACUAGAAGAGGCCCUAACACAAUUAUUUCCACAAGGCACGCUAUGUCCCCAAAAGGCACAAUGUUCCCACAGUGGAGGGUUUACGGUACCAUGUGCCCACAAGGCACCAUGGCACCAUAGUGGAGUUUCUACAGUAGCCUGUCCCUGCAACGUACCAUGCCCCCAUAGUGGAGUCUCUACAGUAGCCUGUCCCCGCAACGUACCAUGCCCCCAUAGUGGAGUCUCUACAGUAGCCUGUCCUCGCAACGUACCAUGCCCCCAUAGUGGAAAAAAUGACGUUGGAGCCGGCUUAUGGUAGAUAAAUUAACUUUCAAUUCUCUGACAACAGCUCUGUUGGACAUGUCUACAGUCAGCAUGUAAAUUGCAAAUUCACUCAAAACUUGAGACAUCUGUGGCAUUGUGUUGUAUGAGAAAACUGGACAAUUAGAAUGGCCCUUUAUUGUCCCCAGCACAAGUUGCACCUGUGUAAUGAUCAUGCUGUUUAAUCAGCUUCUUGAUAUGCCACACCUGUCAGGUAGAUGGAUUAUCUUGGCAAAGGAGAAAUGCUCACUAACAGGGAUGUAAACAAAUUUGUGCACACAAUUUCAGAGAAAUACAAUUUUUGUACAUAUGGAACAUUUCUGCCAUCUUUUAUUUCACUUUACAUGUUGCAUUUAUAUUUUUGUUCAGUAUACUUGGCUCUAGAAAGACUGAUGAUGCAAUGACUUGGUGGCAGGUGGUGUUGCUUACCAGAGAGCCAAUACAUCUAAUAAAAAGUGCAGUUGAAAGGGGAAUGGAAACACUAGGAUUUAGAACGGCAGCCUACUGUAAUUGUAAAUUGCCAUAUUGGCAUUGUUGCGUCACUGGCAGGAGAGAAAAUUUUGUAACUCCCAAAAAUGGCUGAAUUUACAGAGUAGCUCCGAGUCUGAGAAUUAGUUUAAUACAGAGAAUGAAAUGUUAGUUAGGGUGCCAAUAAACCUACGGAAGCCAUUCAUGUUUGAGCUGAUCGUUGUCCCAGAUCAAAUAAUUUGUUCUCGUAGCAGUAACAACACAGACAUGAUGCCCGAAACACCUCAACUAGAGGGUCUGCUAGAGUAAGAGUGUGUGUGUGUUAUAGAGAGGUGGUGGCGAUACAGCCCAAAAUCCCAGCGGAUUGUGGCUGGAUUACAUCCAGUCAGAGGUUCCCGUCAGUCUGUCUGGAUGGUGAUGUAUUACACCCAGUCAGAGGAUCCUGUCAGUCUGUCUGUGUUACGUUCCCCAGUUUAUGUGUUGUAGUUUGUGUAUUUGCAUGUGUUUAUUUCAGGAAAUGGCUUCCUGAAAUCCCUAAAGCAGCUGAUUGGUCGACUCCUUGGCUAAUUGGAGAGCUGACCCCGCCCCCUCGUCAAGACCCAGCUGUCUCCAAUUACCCAUUCAUUCUGAAGCUAUAUAAAUGCCAGUGUUCUGUUCAGGAGAGUUUUUUUUCUGGUAGGUCAUUGCAGAGAUUUUGCUAGAGAGAUUUGCUGGGAUGUCAUUGAAGAGAUUUUGCUAGAGAUUUUGCUAGAGGUUGAUUUUGCUGGGAGGCAUUGCUGAGAGAGGAGGCUGAUGGCUGUGGAUAAUUCAUUAUGUUAGUUGUUGGCAGCAGUUGGUAUGUUUUGUGAGUUUGUUGCUCAGAUAGAGCUUAUUUGAUGUCCUUUGUUUCUUUGUUUGUUGGUGAAAGUGUUUAAUAUUCUGUUUCAUUUGUUUCCAGGGGAGAAGGGGAAGGCACCAAGGGAGUGCUUAGGCAAGAGGCCCGCGGGCAUACAUAUACCCGUAGCAUAUUCGCUGUCUAGGCACACUAGGUAAGACCUGGGCGGACCACCCCCUGUAUUUUGGUUAGGGCACCAGGUGGUGCUAAAUUAGGUAAGUAGUGGGUAGGCAGGUAAGAUAGGAGAGGGGGGGGCUUUGAGAUUUACUUUCUUUGCUUUGGUUCCGUCCAGCCCCUUUUCCCCAUAUUACCGUGUAAAGGAAUAAAGUCCUUGUAAACGGUACCACAUUCUGCCUGUCGUCAUUCUUACUUGCACCUACAGUCCAUACCUUUUUCACUUCACGGAGAGUUUAGUUGUAGCAGGGUGUUGCGUUCCCUCUUCAUAGAGGCGUGCGUAACAGUCUGGAUGGUGAUGUAUUACACCCAGUCAGAGGAUCCCGUCAGUCUGUCUUGAUGGUGACUGUAUUACAUCCAGUCAGAGGUUCCUGUCAGUCUGUCUGGUGACUGUAUUACAUCCAGUCAGAGGUUCCUGUCAGUCUGUCUGGUGACUGUAUUACAUCCAGUCAGAGGUUCCUGUCAGUCUGUCUGGUGACUGUAUUACAUCCAGUCAGAGGUUCCUGUCAGUCUGUCUGGUGACUGUAUUACAUCCAGUCAGAGGUUCCCGUCAGUCUGUCUGGAUGGUGAUGUAUUACAUCCAGUCAGGGGUUCCCGUCAGUCUGUCUGGAUGGUGAUGUAUUACAUCCAGUCAGGGGUUCCUGUCAGUCUGUCUGGUGACUGUAUUACAUCCAGUCAGAGGUUCCUGUCAGUCUGUCUGGAUGGUGAUGUAUUACAUCCAGUCAGAGGUUCCUGUCAGUCUGUCUGGUGACUGUAUUACAUCCAGUCAGAGGUUCCUGUCAGUCUGUCUGGUGACUGUAUUACAUCCAGUCAGAGGUUCCUGUCAGUCUGUCUGGUGACUGUAUUACAUCCAGUCAGAGGUUCCUGUCAGUCUGUCUGGUGACUGUAUUACAUCCAGUCAGAGGUUCCUGUCAGUCUGUCUGGUGACUGUAUUACAUCCAGUCAGAGGUUCCUGUCAGUCUGUCUGGUGACUGUAUUACAUCCAGUCAGAG